CCUGGCAGCCGAGCCGAGUCCGCGGCCCCCGCGUGGAGCUGCCGGGGCCGCCCGGCCCGAGGGUCGCGGCGGCGGCGGCGGCUGACGGACUGCGCGCCCAGGGGCUCACUGGAUCGGUCCUGCCCCAUAGGAGCCAGGCCCGGCACAAGGAGGGCCGCCGGGGGGCGGCGGAGCGCUUGUGUCCGGGCCGCGGGGCGAGCGCCACAGACACUUGUUUGCAAGGCUGAGCCCCGGCGCGCGCGCCGAGCUGAGAGCGGGUCCGCCUCCUCCUCCCCGCCGGGUGGGCGGUGGCCCGCGCCUCGCCCGCCGGGCUCCUCCUCCGGCCCCUCCUUCUCGCCCGGCGAAGCGCACGGGCACUGCCGCGCCCCCGCCCCGGUCCCCAACGGCGGGCCCGGCGAGGCCCGGGGCGGGGCGGGGGUGGGCACUGGGUUCCCUCCAGCAUCUCCCCGGGGCCGCUCCUGCCGGGCACCCGCUGAUCGCUCUCCCGCAGAUUUCUGUCCGCUUCCCCGCUUCUCCUCCCGGUUUAUUCCCGCAGUCGCAGCCGCCUCGGGAACACACAUUCACGCGGCAACACGCAAACCCAUUCUUGCGAGUCCCGGGGGCCAGAGGAACCGGCGCGGAGGCGCGACCCUCCCCGGCAGGGCGAGUGGUCGGGUCGCGGUGUUGGGGGGCGGGGGGGUGGUCUCUAAUGCUACCCGGGAAGGCGAUGGGGGCGCCCGGGCAACAGGGUGGGUAGGGGUGUGCCGAGGCGGACCAGACUCCACGAUGGGGGCUACGGGCGGGGAGUCUCCGCCGCCCGGCCGGCUUCCAGGCCGGGUUUCCAGGUUUCCGCGGGGAGGAGGGGGCAGCGAAAUCGGUCUCGGGACCUCUCCGGCCCCCGGCUCCCUUCCGAAGGACAAGCCCCCGGUGGCAGCCGGUUCUGCGUGGGUUGCUGCCUCCCCUGCCCUUUCUCACUUCUUCUCCCCCGCGGGCGCCCACAAUUUGCUCGCUUUAUUUCUCUCCCCUCGACCCCCGCGCGCUCCCACGGCGGCAGGACCACUUCUGGUCUCCCGCCCCGGCCGGGCGGUCCCCGCGGAUCGGCGCCGGCGCUCGGUUUGCCGCGGGGUCUGA
rnacentral:lncRNA from 1 species